GAUGAACGCUGGCGGCGUGCCUAAUACAUGCAAGUCGAACGAGUUCUCGUUGAUGAUCGGUGCUUGCACCGAGAUUCAACAUGGAACGAGUGGCGGACGGGUGAGUAACACGUGGGUAACCUGCCCUUAAGUGGGGGAUAACAUUUGGAAACAGAUGCUAAUACCGCAUAGAUCCAAGAACCGCAUGGUUCUUGGCUGAAAGAUGGCGUAAGCUAUCGCUUUUGGAUGGACCCGCGGCGUAUUAGCUAGUUGGUGAGGUAAUGGCUCACCAAGGCGAUGAUACGUAGCCGAACUGAGAGGUUGAUCGGCCACAUUGGGACUGAGACACGGCCCAAACUCCUACGGGAGGCAGCAGUAGGGAAUCUUCCACAAUGGACGCAAGUCUGAUGGAGCAACGCCGCGUGAGUGAAGAAGGCUUUCGGGUCGUAAAACUCUGUUGUUGGAGAAGAAUGGUCGGCAGAGUAACUGUUGUCGGCGUGACGGUAUCCAACCAGAAAGCCACGGCUAACUACGUGCCAGCAGCCGCGGUAAUACGUAGGUGGCAAGCGUUAUCCGGAUUUAUUGGGCGUAAAGCGAGCGCAGGCGGUUUUUUAAGUCUGAUGUGAAAGCCCUCGGCUUAACCGAGGAAGCGCAUCGGAAACUGGGAAACUUGAGUGCAGAAGAGGACAGUGGAACUCCAUGUGUAGCGGUGAAAUGCGUAGAUAUAUGGAAGAACACCAGUGGCGAAGGCGGCUGUCUGGUCUGUAACUGACGCUGAGGCUCGAAAGCAUGGGUAGCGAACAGGAUUAGAUACCCUGGUAGUCCAUGCCGUAAACGAUGAAUGCUAGGUGUUGGAGGGUUUCCGCCCUUCAGUGCCGCAGCUAACGCAUUAAGCAUUCCGCCUGGGGAGUACGACCGCAAGGUUGAAACUCAAAGGAAUUGACGGGGGCCCGCACAAGCGGUGGAGCAUGUGGUUUAAUUCGAAGCAACGCGAAGAACCUUACCAGGUCUUGACAUCUUUUGAUCACCUGAGAGAUCAGGUUUCCCCUUCGGGGGCAAAAUGACAGGUGGUGCAUGGUUGUCGUCAGCUCGUGUCGUGAGAUGUUGGGUUAAGUCCCGCAACGAGCGCAACCCUUAUGACUAGUUGCCAGCAUUUAGUUGGGCACUCUAGUAAGACUGCCGGUGACAAACCGGAGGAAGGUGGGGAUGACGUCAAAUCAUCAUGCCCCUUAUGACCUGGGCUACACACGUGCUACAAUGGAUGGUACAACGAGUUGCGAGACCGCGAGGUCAAGCUAAUCUCUUAAAGCCAUUCUCAGUUCGGACUGUAGGCUGCAACUCGCCUACACGAAGUCGGAAUCGCUAGUAAUCGCGGAUCAGCACGCCGCGGUGAAUACGUUCCCGGGCCUUGUACACACCGCCCGUCACACCAUGAGAGUUUGUAACACCCGAAGCCGGUGGCGUAACCCUUUUAGGGAGCGAGCCGUCUAAGGUGGGACAAAUGAUUAGGGUG
rnacentral:rRNA from 8 species